rnacentral:rRNA from 1 species
GUAAAGCUCUGUCCUCAAGGAAGAAUAAAUGACGGUACUUGAGGAGGAAGACCCCGGCUAACUACGUGCCAGCAGCCGCGGUAAUACGUACGGGGGCAAGCGUUAUCCGGAAUCACUGGGCGUAAAGGGUGCGUAGGCGGUUUUCAAGUCAGAAGUGAAAGGCUAUGGCUCAACCAUAGUAAGCUUUUGUAAACUAGUUAAACUUGAGUGCAGGAGAGGAAAGUGGAAUUCCUAGUGUAGAGGUGAAAUUCGUAGAUAUUAGGAGGAACACCAGUGGCGAAGGCGACUUUCUGGACUGUAACUGACGCUGAGGCACGAAAGCGUGGGGAGCGAACAGGAUUAGAUACCCCUGGUAG